CAACCGUAAAUUUGGAGUAUGUCGACCACAGAUGCACGAGUUGCAACACUCGUUACAGAAAUGUCAUCCAGCUGAUCUGUGGUGCUACGAGAUUCCCAUGGACGAGCUGCCAUCCAUCUCUCCAACCAACUCCAACCCCAGUGCGGAUUGUUUGGAUCCAUGACGAACUUAACAACCAAUCAUACUUAUGUGGAGAACAAAAACUGCAAGGAGUUGCUAGAGAUCCAGAGUCGAGAAGUGUACUCAGGAAGCACGUACUAAGGAAUAAAGAAAAUGCAUAGUUUUGUUACCUGAUGAGAGUAAGCAUAAGCCAUAGCCCUUUCUCUUCUUACUGCAGCUUCAUGCUUGUUCAAUAGUUUAGCUUCAAUUUGUGCUUUAGAUUGGGUGCUAUGAUUCCAGUUACCAUCCAUCUGUAGUGCAAGUUGUAAUGAUCGCAGAUUAUUAAAAUGACAAUAGCUCAAAAGAAGAUACUAUUCUUCUCAAACAAAUACUAUUAUUCCACAAUUUUUCGUUUAUCUAAGAUAAAUACACGUUCAAAUGAUAAAUACAUUAACUAACUGCAAGAACCAGCAGUUGGAUGAAUGAUACUCUAACUCUAUACUGUUAAACAAAAAGAAGAAACCAAGAAGACAAGGAAAAAAAUAUCAUGCAUGAUGACAAUUAGACGUUUAGGUUUUGACCUUUAAAUCUGUGUUGUAUGGUAUAUGUAUGGAUGCAAGUAUGCGUAUGCAUAUAGACCACACUCAAGUAGCAACUUCAAAUUUAUACUCCCAGAGCCAUAGACUUGUUUUCACAAGCGCUACAGACAUAGCAGGUUAUAUUCAAAAGAAAAGUUCGAACAAAGAGAACUUACAGUAAAUUUUAACUUCUCGAGAUCUUUCUCACGUUUGUUACGAAGUUGCCGGAGAAGAGCAUGAUUUUCUUCCGACAUUCUUAUUCUCCUUACACGAAUCUCCGACUGUAAAUGAGUAAGGGUCUGCAUGCAUUUUAAAGUAGAGGCCACUUGCCGUUUGACAGACUGCCCUUGUACCAACGUCUUCAAUCUCAUCAACGCUUUGAGUGCUCUUAGUGCUCUCCUUGCCUGUUGAGAAAUGAAAAGCUGAUGCUUCAUCAAAGUUGAAAGCUAAUGGAUUCCCGAAGAACUUAUUAUGAAGAAACAAUAGACAACUACUGCAGAAGAUAAAUGGGACGACCAAUCCAUAUGAUACUCAAAGAUAAAACUUGGUUAUGAAUUCUAUAAAUUCUUGAAAUAUUGAUAGGUGGAAAAUGGAAACAGUUUUAAAAUAUAACAUACAAACUUAACUUAAUGUUUUUGUCAUUAACAACAGGUACUGACGAUGCUUCUAAUCGCCCAAAACUCCUAUACUGAAUGAGAAAUGGAAUAUUAUGAGAAGUACCGUA